AUGCAUGUCUAAGUACAAACUCUCACGGAGUGAAACUGCAGAUGGCUCAUUAAAUCAGCUGUUGUUUAAUGGAGCGAGUCAAUCCUACAUGGAUAACUGUGGUAAUUCUAGAGCUAAUACAUGCGAUCAAGCGCUGACCUCACGGAAAGCGUGCUUUUAUUAGGAACAAGACCAGCCCGUGGCUCGCCCGCGGUCUCUGCUGGUGAACUCUAGAUAACUUAGCCGAUCGCACGGUCUAGCACCGGCGAUGGUUCCUUCAAAUGUCUGCCUUAUCAACUGUCGAUGGUAGGUUAUGCGCCUACCAUGGUCGUAACGGGUGACGGAGAAUCAGGGUUCGAUUCCGGAGAGGGAGCCUGAGAAACGGCUACCACA
rnacentral:rRNA from 5 species